AAAGGUAUUAAAGUUAAUUGCUGCUUAAAUUUUUAAGGAGAGGAAAGUCCGGGCUCCACAGAGCAAGAGGGCAGCUAACGGCUGCUAAAGGAAACUUUAAGGAAAGUGCCACAGAAAAUAGACCGCCAUUUUGGUAAGGGUGAAAAGGUGGUGUAAGAGACCACCAGUUCUUUAGGAAACUAAAGAAGCUAGGUAAACCCCCUCUGGAGCAAGACUAAAUAGGAAAGGUUAAGGGUUGCUCGUCCAGCUUUCAGGGUAAGUUGCUUGAAAUUAUAAGAGAUUAUAAUUCUAGAUAAAUAAUUAACAUAUACAAAACCCGGCUUAUUUAAUGCCUUUUUUA
rfam:Fusobacterium mortiferum ATCC 9817 genomic scaffold supercont2.7, whole genome shotgun sequence.